rnacentral:lncRNA from 1 species
GCUUCCCCAGGUCGCGGCGGCGGGAGCAACAAGCAGCGGCUCGUGAGUCCGCGGCUCGCACCCAGGGGCGCCCGCACGUGCGGCUAGAACGUCCGAGUCGGGGUCCGGGGCGGGGGGCGCAGGCCCGCGGCGGUAGGGGAGGAGAGCGGGCACCCGAGUCUCCAUCCUCAGGGUGGCCUGAAGGUUCCAGGAGGGCGUCCGGCGAAGGCACGGGGCUGCGACCAUCCAGUUAGCAGGGCUGGUGUGACUGUUGAGAGUAAAUGAAAAUUCGUUUUGUGACACCGACCACCUCCAAGGAAUGAAAGGAGCAGUCAGCCGAAACGACAGCAUUACUUGCGUCCUUACCUAAUUGGAACCUUAUCCGUGGCUGAGGGUGCCACCAUUGGAGGGGCCGCCGCCCCCUCUGACACCACCUGGCGCUCCGCUCCAUUUAGGAGCUAGAACGAAAAGGAGGCCCAUCCCCCAGUAAGUCACAGCCCACGCCAAGAUGAGUUCUGGAGCCUGUGCGACCGAAGUUUCUUCACCGCAGGGCGAGGUGGACAAGGGUGUGAGUUACUUUGACUUCAAGACGUCUCAGUGGCGGCUGGUUCUGGAGAGAGGCUUUAUGCUGGAGCACUUCCAGCAAAGUUCGGCUGGGGCCUCCUUAACUCACUGGCUGGUCACCCUUGGCCUCGGUUUUCAACCAAAGCCUAAGGCCUCAGUUUUCAACGCUGUAAAUGGAAAUAAAUGAGAGAAGAAAGUACAGCCCGUGUGACAAGUGCAGCAAGCAAUGCAACUUCCUUGGGACCUACCCUUUGUGGUCCCUUGCUUUAAAAGUAUAGAUUCACAUUUAGUUAGACCUGUUUCUUCCUCGCAUGCAAUUUCACCAGUCUUUUCCCAGACUUCUGUACUCAACAGAGGAAGUUCCUUCCUGGGAGACCAUAGCUGUUUGUAUGUAAAGAGUUGCGAAAAAACAAAAGCAAAACAAAAAACUCCAACACCUCUCUGUCACAGAAGUAUUGAAUUAUAUAGACUGGAAAAAUGGAAGUAUCCAAGAAAACGCGUGUGGUAAGAAAAUGGCUAAGGUGCAGGAUUCUGUUUUGUGGCUCUGGUCUCAGAAAUAGACCUCACAUACACAUUAUUCCUUAUCCCCUCUAUUAUAAUACUCACUUUUUUUUUUUUUUAAGAGACAGGGUAGGCCGGGUGCAGUGGCUCAUGCCUGUAAUCCCAGCAUUUUGGGAGGCCAAGGCAGGAGGAUCACCUGAGGUCGGGAGUUUGUGACCAGCCUGACCAACAUGGAGAAACUCCAUCUCUACUAAAAAUACAAAAUUAGCCAGGUUUGGUGGCGCAUGCCUCUAAUCCCAGCUACUUGGGAGGCUGAGGCAGGAGAAUUGCUUGAACCCAGGAGGCGCAGGUUGUGGUGAGCCGAGAUUGUGCCAUUGCACUCCAGCCUGGGCAACAAGAGCGAAACUCUGUCUCAAAAAAAAAAAAAAAAAAAAAAGAGAGGGUCUUGCUCUGUCACUCAGGUUGUGCUAUCAUAGCUUACUGUAACCUUGAACUCCUGGCCUUAAGCGAUCCUCCUGCUUCAACCUCCCAAGUAGCUGGGACUACAGGCCUGUGACAGUGCCUGGCCCAGGCACUGACUUUCUUAUGUCAUAUAGCAAUGACCACUAAGGGAAAGUCUAUACAAACUAUAGAAUAGUUGUCAUUCUUUACCCAACCCGGGACACAAGUUAAAAACCUAGUAUUCAUUUUUUUUUUCCUGUACCAAAACAAUCAUCUUCCUUUAUUUUUCCUGGAGCGGGAAGAGGAGAGUGGAGAAGAAGGGAAGAAUGCAAAGUGUCACUUUGAACUUCUCGUUCACCACACACGUGGGAGUCCACUCAUGUCAGCAGCCUCCGUGCACAGGCCCCAGGUGAAAGAAAGAAUGAGGUCUAGUUGGACCAGCUAACACUGCCUGCCUUGUGUUUACGAAAGGCAGCUGCCUCUGUGGUGUGAUUUCAGGGGAGCCAGACAGGGCCGGGGCCACGAACCUGCAUCCUGCAUCCUAAGCACCUAUUGCCAUGCGUGAGGCUAACUGGAAACUCACUUGCUGGGUGCAGAUAGCUUCCAAACUAUUGUGAUGCUCAUGCUUGACUUCCCAAGGAACGUGUUUCAGGAAAGGCCAUUGCCCUCAUUAUGGUCUUUGAUAAGCAGGAAGAAGUUUGUUGUUCCUUUUUUUUCUUAAUGCCCUACUUCGUGCAACAUACAUCCAAUCAGUCAUAUCCUAUUGACGCUACCCCUAAAUAUCUCUGGGCCUGGCCCGUGCUCAGGGCACUGCCUUCAUUCAGUUACUGCACUUGCCUGCUGCCUGUGCUCCUGGUCUCCUGCUUGGACUCCCCCAGGCCAGCAGCCACACUACUGCCAAAAUCCAGUCGAAAAUUAACUUCAGGUAAAGCACAAUUCCAAACCUAACACUGCCCCCCUCAAAAGCCUCUCUGUAGCCUUCAGAAUAAAGACCAUAUUAUUUGACAAGACACAUAAAGUCCAUUGUAAUCUGGCACCAAACGACCUUUCCAGCCUCAUCUCCUGCCAUUGUGUCCCACAAGCCCUACAUCCCUCCCUUGCCAAACCAGCCUCCGCUCCUUUUUGUCAAACAACAGAGCUGUCCUCUUGUUCAUUGUUUUAUCUUUAGCAUGGUGCCCAGCACACAGGCACUGAAAUACUUGUGAAUUAAUAAUUACUUGCUCUUUUCAUCAGGCUCUCAUAAAAUAUUUUAGACUUGAUCAGAGCCUUGUUUUAUAUUUUAAUAGCUUUUUAAUAUAAAUGUAAUUAAUGUUUCUUGUACAGAAUUUGGAAGAUGCAAGAAUGGUGAGAGAAGAACAUAAGCCACCUGACAUCUCACUAGUCAGGAAUAGACCUGUGGAUAUUUUUAUGUAUUUCCUUCUAGUGAUCUUUCUAAGGGACCGUUUCCAAUCCGCAUCUCCUCUGUCUGUGUGUAGGAUUUAAGAAUGCUGACUGUGCAGGCUGCUCUCCACGAUGCCCAUGUGACAGCCUGCUGUCCUAUUCUAGUUCUUGGCCGGUUCCUCGUCUGCUGCCAGCCCCCUAAAUUAUGGUGUUUCCAGGCAUUCUAUCCUCAACCCUCUUAUUUUCUCAUUCUACAUGCUUUAUCUUUGGGUGUUCUCCUCCACGCCCAGGGCUUCAGAUAUCACUAUUUGCUGAUGACUCCAAAAUCUGUAACUUCUGAGCUCUGACCACAUUAACUCCUACACAUGUCUCAGGUGCAACAAAUUAUACAUGUCCCAAGUCAGAGAGAACAUCUUUUCCACAGCCUUGCACUGUUCACUUCAUUGAUUAGCUGGGAAACUGGGAGGACUCACAGACUGCCCCCUUUCCUGAGUCCUGGGGCCUCCCUGAAGCAUGGGUGUUGCUUGCAAUUUUCCAGGCCCCUAAACUCAUAAAACAUAGACAGAAUGAAUUUCUGUUCUUAGGCCCUUGAUGACAUGUCACUGCAAACCAAAAAUGUACAAAUGAACCAAAACAGCCACAUGGUACUGAUAUACACAGUCAAGAAGUAUCUUAGCCCUUUGAUGAGAUGCAUAUAGUAAUAAAUCUCUGUGGAAACUCCAGCCUUUUUGGAAGCCUGGGUAAGAAAGUAGGCUCAGUGGCUCACGCCUGUAAUCCCAGCACUUUGGGAGGCCGAAGCGGGUGGAUCAUGAGGUCAGGAGAUCGAGAACAUCCUGGCUAACACGGUGAAAACCCGUCUCUACUAAAAAUACAAAAAUUAGCCGGGCGUGGUGGUGGGCGCCUGUAGUCCCAGCUACUCGGGAAGCUGAGGCAGGAGAACGACAUGAACCCGGGAGGUGGAGCUUGCAGUGAGCCGAGAUCACACCACUGCACUCCAGCCUGGGCGACAGAGCCAGAGCGAGACUCCAUCUCAAAAAAAAAAAAAAAAAAAAAGAGUAACCUUUGUCAUACUGAGGAAAUCUGACCAAACACUUCAGUCUAACGUGAAAAAAGUUGAAGGGUCUUUUAUAGUGAAACUAGAGUCAUCUCCUGGAUGAAGCAUGUUUGUAUUUCACCUGUGGGAUGGAAUAUCCUAAAAGAUCUGCCUGGCUGCCUCAGGACUCAUUUCUUUUCAGGGGAGUCGGGUGCAGACAAUAUUACUUGAGCACAAUAGUGCCGGAUCUCUCCUUGAGUGGAUCUUAACUAAGGAAGAAAUGUAAAGACACAUUCAAAGUUGACCCCUUUCAAAUGGGUUUUUAACUUAGUUUCCUAAAAUUGAAACAAAGUUUCAUAAAAUGAUCAUUCAAAUAAAAUCUGUUGAGUGCUCAGGAACAUUUCCCAGCACUAGGGAUACAGCAGUGAACCAAAUGAAUGAAAGUGCCAGCCUUCUAAGACGUUUUCUUACAGUCUUGUAGGUUGACAUGUUGAUUUCCACUGUGGCAUCCCAGUAAUGGCACCGACAUCAUCUCCACCUGUAAUCACAGCCUUCAGAACUGUACAUGCAACUUAGGAAUGUGUAACAUGAAGGCAUAUAAAUGAAAACCUAAGUAUUUAUAGCUAUGAUUUAAUCAGGAGCCCCAGGUCUGCAAGCAGAUGCUCAGUUUUCUCCCCAGAAUCACUGGGACCACUUCUGUCUUGGCCACUGGAGCUCCCCUCCAAGGUGCUGCAAUUCAGGAGGUUAGAAAGUCAUGGAAAACGAGGGUUCCACCCUUGCCAGAACAGUUGCCAAUACAAAAGCCACAGAUUAACAGUCCUGAGUUGCAAAGAACAUUAUUGUGAAGUCCAAGUUGAAUAAACACACAGCCAAGUUAAAUUUUUUGCGGCAAUAGAACAGCAAUGGGAUUGAAAAAACCAUCAGUCAAAGUUCAAAGGUCAUUGGCCUCAAGUUGAAAAAUUCUUGAGCAUGUUUGACUGUUACUUUAUGUAAUGGUUCCUUCCAUUUUACAAGAAACUAGGAAGUGGGGGUCAUUUUGUUGCAACUAUUUUCUGAAAAUCAUGAGUUUACAUUGAGUAAUACAUUGCUCAGUUUUGGGUGAUACUCAUUCUGCCCUGUUCUGAAGGGAAAACACAUUCUCUAAAAUUGCCUGGAUUUCUGUGUGUGUCUGUGUGUGUGUGUGUGUGUGUGUGUCUAUGUCUGUGUGUGUGUGCAUCUCUGUGUGUUUGUGUGUCUGUGUGUGUGCGUGUGUGUGUGCGUGCGUGCGUGUGUUUUUCCUUUCCCAAAGGAAGGCUUUCAACUUUGAAAACUUCAUGAAGUGUUUUUUGGCAUAAUUUCCCAAAUGGCUGUGGAAUAUGUGAAAUAUUCCUUAUUUCUCUAUGGUGACAAACUAUAAAGUAGUCCUUUUACCUUUAAAGACAGAGGGACAUGGUGUCUAUAGCUUUGCCUUGACGUUCUGCAGAGCAAUUACUAUAAUAGUUUCAGGUAUUGAAGAUAUUUUAAAGAAUAAAUUUCAAAUUUGUAACCUAAAUUUAGGAGACUACUUGGUUCACUGGUCAUCUGUAUAUUUGAAGAAAUUUUUAAUAUUGUUAUAUUUGUUUUCUUAUUUUAAAAUAUUUAAUUGUCAGCCAGGCAUGGUGGCUCAUUCCUGUAAUCUCAGAGCUUUGGAAGGUCAAGGCAGGAGGAUCACUUGAGGACAGGAUUUCAAAACCAGCCUGGGAAAUAUAGCGAGACUGUCUACACACACACACACAAAAAAAAAAAAAAAAUUAAGAGGGUGUGGUAGCGUGCACCUAUAGUCCUAGCUACUUGAAAGGCUGAGGCAGGAGGUUCCCUUGAGACCAGGUGUUCAAGUCUGCAGUGAGCUAUAAUCAUGCCACUGAACUCCAGACUGGGUGACAGAAGGAGGCCCUAUCUGUAAAUAAAUAAAUAAAGAAAUUUAUUUAAAGUAAGUAAAAAUAAAAUAUGUAAUUGUCAAAUAAAGAUUGAACAUAUUCAAAGUAAACAACAUGAUUAUUUGAUACACAUAUAUUGUGUAACAAUUACCACAAAUGAAUUAAAACAUCCGCCACUCGCCCUGCUAUGAUCAGCUCCCACAACAUAUUGAUAUUAUACAUAACUAAACGUUUUGUAUCUUUUGACUAACAUCUCUCCAUUCCACUUCCAGUCACUGGCAACCACCAUUUUACUUUCUGCUUCUCUGAGUUUAACAUUUAUAGAUUCCACAUGUAAGUGAAACCACACAAUAUUUGUCUUUCUGUGUCUGGCUUAUUUUACUUAGCAUAAUGUCUCCCAAGUUCAUCCAUGUUGCCAAUGAGAUAGGAUUUCUUUCUCUUUUUAUGGUUGAAUAAUAUUCCAUUGUAUAUAUGAACCACAGUUUCUUUAUCUGUUCAUCUAUUGGUGGACACUUGGGCUGUUUCCACGUCUUGGCUAUUGGAAAUAACGCCGCAGUGAAUAUAAGGGAGCAGACAUCUCCUCAGGAUAUUGAUUUUAUUUCCUUUUGAUAUGUACCCAGAAGUGGGAUUGCUGGAUCGCAUGGUGGUUCCAUUUGGUAGUCUCAUUCUAAUGGUAAUUCCAUUUUAAUUUUUGGAGGCACCUCCAUACUGUUUUCCAUAAUGGCUGCAACAGUCUAUAUUCCCACCAAGUGUGCAAAGGUUCCCUUUUAUAGCCCUUCUAACAGGAGGGAGAUAUAUCUCAUUGUGAUUUUGAUUUGCAUUUCUCUGAUGAUUCAUGAUGUCGAGCACUUUUGCAUACACCUGUUGGCCAUUUGUAUGUCUUGUAUGGAAAAUGUCUAUUCAGGUUCUUUGCUCAUUUGCUGCAACUUUCACCAUUUCUCUGUAAGCCUUUGGUCUCAGCGUAUGAAGCAUGAUGAUGUUCAGUGUGUUCUCUUCCUUCCCAAACUUCAUAGCAUUCUGAAUAAUACACCUUUAUUCUAUUUGAAAAUGUUUGGAAAUUCGCCAGUCAGAAAGACAGCAGAGUGUCAUAAAACAAAGGAUUGAGAACAUUUAGAAAUGUUCUCACUUCCUUAAAAAACUUUAUCUCUGCUAAAUACCAAAUGUGCAUGGCAAUUCACGUACACAGCUCUUGGCGCAUUCUCCUUAACCUUUGAUGCAUCUUGGCGUCAUUUACCCUCCAUGUUUAUUGAGCACUGGGAUGCUCCAGGCACUCUGAGAGCUGCUGUGAAGAAAGCAAGAGCCAGACAAGACCCCUGCGCCCAUGCCCCUGAUGCUCUAGUGAAGGUGAAGGCAACAGACAAAUAAACAAGCAAACCAACACAAUAGUCACAG